CAGCAGUUUGAGCUGUAAUAGGUUGAUAUACUUGUCCUCUUCUUCCUCUUGCAUUGCUUGGAGGGAAUGUUUGCAUAUUUGCCAAAGGGGUUGCAUCCAUUAUCAGGGGAACCAAGCUUCAACGCAAGGCAUUACAAUAGGAGUUUACACUGAUGCUACACAAUGAAAAAGUUUACAAAUAGAUCCUGAUCAAGUUUCAACAAACAAAAAGAACACGAUGAUAAGGUAUAAUUUUUCUUGUUAGUAAUGUCAGUUAGAAUCAAAUACAAAAGCCACCAAGGGCGAAUUCAAUCCUGCAGCUCAAAUUUGUGUUUGCUAAGUUUCCGUAAAGAAAUUGGCUUACAACAAACAUGUAAAAUAAGGAGCAAAUUUGGCGGUCUUUCUCGCUCUUCUCCUCCAACUGCACUCGCCUAUGGCCGAAUUGGGAGUGCAGUAACCACUAUCAUAGAUUAGUAAACUUCUAUGGAUUCUGAAAGUUUGGGAGAAGCGAGAACUUCCAAAGGCGACAGAUCUAUCCAUUAAGAUGGUUUUUUCUUUCUGCCAGUUUGAGAGAUGCGCCUCAACAGUUGAGUUUCCCUUUUCAUCCCUCUUAGAUAAAGUAGAUAUAGAGAUAGUAAAGUAGCAGCAGCAUCAAAAGC